rnacentral:rRNA from 1 species
GACGAACGCUGGCGGCGUGCUUAACACAUGCAAGUCGAGCGGAAAGGCCCUUUCGGGGGUACUCGAGCGGCGAACGGGUGAGUAACACGUGAGUAAUCUGCCCCUGGCUUUGGGAUAGCCACCGGAAACGGUGAUUAAUACCGGAUACGACCACUUCUCGCAUGGGAUGGUGGUGGAAAGUUUUUCGGCCAGGGAUGUGCUCGCGGCCUAGCAGCUUGAUGGUGAGGUAAUGGCUCACCAUGGCUUCGACGGGUAGCCGGCCUGAGAGGGUGAACGGUCACACUGGGACUGAGACACGGCCCAGACUCCUACGGGAGGCAGCAGUGGGGAAUAUUGGACAAUCGGCGGAGGCCUGGUCCAGCAACGCCGCGUGAGGGAUGACGGUCUUCGGGUUGUAAACCUCUUUCAGCAGGGACGAAGCGCAAGUGACGGUACCUGCAGAAGAAGCACCGGCCAACUACGUGCCAGCAGCCGCGGUAA